AUUGAGCGCUGGCGGCAUGCCUUACACAUGCAAGUCGAACGGCAGCACGGGAGCAAUCCUGGUGGCGAGUGGCGAACGGGUGAGUAAUAUAUCGGAACGUGCCCAGUCGUGGGGGAUAACGCAGCGAAAGCUGUGCUAAUACCGCAUACGAUCUAAGGAUGAAAGCGGGGGAUCGCAAGACCUCGCGCGAUUGGAGCGGCCGAUAUCAGAUUAGCUAGUUGGUGGGGUAAAGGCCCACCAAGGCGACGAUCUGUAGCUGGUCUGAGAGGACGACCAGCCACACUGGAACUGAGACACGGUCCAGACUCCUACGGGAGGCAGCAGUGGGGAAUUUUGGACAAUGGGCGCAAGCCUGAUCCAGCAAUGCCGCGUGCAGGAUGAAGGCCUUCGGGUUGUAAACUGCUUUUGUACGGAACGAAACGGCCCUUUCUAAUACAGGGGGCUAAUGACGGUACCGUAAGAAUAAGCACCGGCUAACUACGUGCCAGCAGCCGCAGUAA
rnacentral:rRNA from 1 species